AUCCCAAAAAAUCCAAAUUUCUGCCAAAAAAAUCUCCAAAAUAAUCCAAAUUUCCACCAAAAAAAAAUCCAAAAAAAAAAUUAAAAUUUCCACAAUAAAAUCCCCAAAAAAAUCCAAAUUUCCACCCAAAAAAUCCCGAAAUAAUCCAAAUUUUUUUGCUUUCCAGAGGAGCUCAGGACGGCGUUGGGUGAGUCCAGAAUUCCAAAUUCAAAUUUAAUUUAAAAUUUGGUUUUUCAAUUAAUACAUCACCUUAUUAUUUAAAUAUUUAUGUAAAUAAUAAUUAAAUUAUUAUUUUAUUUAAAUAUAUUAUCACAGGUAAUGCAGAUGUAAAUAAUAUUUUAUUUAUCAUUUUUUUGGCCAUAAUAAUUUGAAUUUUUGCCCAAUUUUCCACUGUAAUUUACUCUAUUAUGUCAUUAAAUACAUUAUUUUAUUUAUGUUUUAUUAUUUUAUUUAUUUUAUUAAAUAUGUACUAAAAUAUACAAAUAUUUUAAAGGCGGUAAAGAUGUAAAUAAUAUUUUAUUUCUCUUUUUUUGGGAUAAUAUUUUGAAUUUUUCCCAAUUUUCCACUUUAUUUUACUAUAUUAUGUAUUUAAAUAAAUUAUGUUUUUAAAUUUAUCCUAUUUAAAUAAUAUUUUAUUUCUUUUUUUAGGGAUAAUAUUUUUAAUUUUUCCCAAUUUUCCACUUUAUUUUACUAUAUUAUGUAUUUAAAUAAAUUAUAUUUUUUAAAUUUAUCGUAUUUAAUUAUAUUAUAUAUUUUAAUAAUAUUUUAUUUCUCUUUUUUUGGGAUAAUAAUUUGAAUUUUUACCCAAUUUUCCACAGAACAACGGGACAGAGAGAUCGAACAACGGGACAGAGAGAUCGAACAACGGGACAGAGAGAUCGAACAACGGGACAGAGAGAUCGAACGACGGGACAAACAGAUCGCCGAGAUGAACGCCGAGCUGGGUGAGUCCUUAAUUACAAAAAUAAUUAAUUUUUCUAUUUUUUUAAUUUUAAUUACUUAAUUAAUCCCAAUUAAUUUUCUAUUCCCAGAGGAAUCUCGAUUAAGGAUCUGUGAGUAUCCCGGGCCUUCUUUAAUUCUGUUUUAUUCUGGUUUUUUUCCUUCAUUUUUCUCCUUAAUUUCAUUUUUUUUCCUAUUUU
ensembl:lncRNA